CGUACACACCGCCCGUCCACCACCAUGGGAGUUGGUUUGACCUUAAGACGGUAUGCCAACCGCAAGGAGGCAGCCGGCCACGGUCAGGUCAGCGACUGGGGUG
rnacentral:rRNA from 1 species